GUUUAGAUAUCAGCCAGAGGUUAAUGAUACUUGAUGUAAUGACGGAGGCUGCACAGGAGCUCGCAAACACAAGGAUUUCAAGACUUAAACAACGGUCGAACGCUCUUGUAUCAUCCAUUGGUGAUGAAGCAUGGUUCAUGCCAAAACCUAUUGGUCCUCCAGGAGCUGGCCCUUGGAAGGAAAUUUCAACACCAGGGACUCCUUUUAACUGGUCUCAUGGUUAUGAGAGAGAACUUCCCCCUA
rnacentral:misc_RNA from 1 species